AUGCACACUCCAUGUAAUGCUUGUCAGCUUGGCCGACAACCGCGUCUCCCUUUCCCUUCCUCUAGUAGCCGCACAUAUGCUCCCUUUCUUAUUCAUUGUGACUUGUGGAUGUCACCAGUUGUAAGCUUUUCCGGCUAUCAAUACUAUUUAGUUGUGCUUGAUGAUUAUACUCAUUUUUCCUGGACCUUUCCCUUGCGCAACAAAUCUGACACCUCCACCAACUUACAAUGCUUCUUCACCUUUGUGCGUAUGCAAUACAAUGUCAUUAUCAAAGCCUUGCAAUUUGAUAACGGCAGCGAGUUCAUCAACACCUACUUGCGCACCUUUCUCUCUGCCAACAGCAUCGCUUAUCGGUUUUCAUGCCCCCACACUUCUCCCCAAAAUGGCAAGGCUGAGUGCCUCAUACGUACCACCAAUGACAUCAUAUGCACUCUUAUCCAAGCUCACUUACCCCCACCCUUCUGGGUUGAGGCGCUGCACACCGCCACACACUUGCUCAACAUACGUCCCCCUAGCAUAUUGAGAUUGAUCUCCAUUUCGUCCAUGAUCGUGUGGCUCUUGGUGAAGUUCGUGUCCUGCAUGUACCGUCCAGUUCUCAGUUUGCGGAUGUCUUCACCAAGGGCCUUCCUACACAUGUGUUCACUGAGUUUCGCGCCAGCCUAA
rnacentral:rRNA from 1 species